UACUUUAUUAAUAGAUGUGCCAACUCCGCACUUGCAUAAGUAUGAUGGUUUGCUUAUUGUAAGCUAAUCUUCACCACAUCUUUAAUUAUCCUUAGAAUGUUAGUUCCAUCUAAUUAACAUCAUUAUUAUUUCUAUAGACAAUCUCGAGGAUAUUGAAAGAGAAGAUAUCGAUGUUGUCGAGUCGGAAUUCUGAACCAGCUAUUGAAGUCCCUUUUUUUCCUGCAG
rnacentral:lncRNA from 1 species